GGUAUGGUGGCUUAGGGGAUAGAGCGUUUGCCUCACAUCUCUAGGGUUGGGGGUUUGAUUCCCACCUUUGGCC